CCUACGGGAGGCAGCAGUGGGGAAUAUUGGACAAUGGGGGCAACCCUGAUCCAGCAAUGCCGCGUGAGUGAUGAAGGCCUUAGGGUUGUAAAGCUCUUUUGCCAGGGACGAUGAUGACGGUACCUGGAGAAUAAGCCCCGGCUAACUUCGUGCCAGCAGCCGCGGUACU
rnacentral:rRNA from 1 species